GAUGAAUGCUGGCGGCGCGCCUAACACAUGCAAGUCGAGCGGUAACAUGGACUUCGGUCUGAUGACGAGCGGCGGACGGCUGAGUAACGCGUGGGAACAUGCCCCAAAGUGAGGAAUAACUGCCCGAAAGGGUGGCUAAUGCCGCAUAUGAUCUUCGGAUUAAAGGAUUUAUCCGCUUUGGGAGUGGCCUGCGUACGAUUAGGUAGUUGGUGAGGUAAUGGCUCACCAAGCCUACGAUCGUUAACUGGUCUGAGAGGAUGAUCAGUCAGACUGGAACUGAGACACGGUCCAGACUCCUACGGGAGGCAGCAGUGAGGAAUCCUCCACAAUGGGCGAAAGCCUGAUGGAGCGACGCCGCGUGCAGGAUGAAGGCCUUCGGGUUGUAAACUGCUUUUAUAAGUGAAGAAUAUGACGGUAACCUAUGAAUAAGCACCGGCUAACUACGUGCCAGCAGCCGCAGUA
rnacentral:rRNA from 1 species